rnacentral:lncRNA from 1 species
GGCCUGGCGACCAAGAAACCGCAGAUCUGGACCUGCUUCACAUUGUCAAAGCCCAACACGCGCACGAAGCAGCCAGGGAAGGUUUUCUUGCAUUCCUCGAUCUCCCUCAACACCUGGGCGGAGUCCUGGCAACCGAACAUGGGCAGCUUCCACAUGGUCCAGUAGCGACCGUCAUAGUACCCAGGGGAUGAGUUGUUGGUACGAGACACACCGUUGGCGUUCUGUUUAUGAGCCACGCCAGCCAUUACGAUCAGUAGGCUUUAAGAAAAUGAUAAACCCUCAACUCACACAUUCAGCCAAUGAAAAGCUCCGCUCUACUAGAUGGUACACUACAAUUGCAACAGUCAACAGGGAUAGAGUAAAUUGCAGCAAUCAGCUGUAAAGGCAGCCGACAACCGUACAGAAUCAGUACAGCAAAAACCAGGGUGUGAGGCUUACCACAUCGAACUCGAGGCAGGGGAUGAGAUUCUGCUGGAUCAUGUACUCCACCUGCUUGGCGAUGGCGUCAUCGGACAAUGGGGGCAAGUACGAGAAGGUCUCGAACUUGGUCAUGCCGAUGGGGUUCCACACCUGCAUGCACUGCACGCGGCUGCCAUUCUGGACUGAGCUCAAGGUCUGAGCCUUGCUGGAGAACAAGGUAGCGCUCUUGAGGCCAGAGAAAGCCUUCACGGAGGAGGCCUCGGAGGUCAUCACUGCGGAUGAAGCCGCAGCGAAGGCAGCAGGGGCCACAACAGUGGAUGCAGCUACGAUGGAGGCCAUUGCACACAGUCUUAGAGCAAAUGAUGUGAUGAUGGCACACCACGGUAGAACGAAUGCUGCAGGGUAUGAUACACGACAGAGCUGCAGAGAAACGCUCUUAUGUAGAAACUGAGCCCAAGAGUGAUAGUCACAUUUCCACCACGAAGUCGAUGUCGAACACUGUCCACACAAUGGCUUAAUCUUCUCAGGCAUCAAAUUGGUCAUCCAUUGUCAUCGAGUUUGGACAGACAAGGGGAGGUAUGAGCGAAGCACACUAUUAUCCAACUGUUGAGUAAUCUUCGUGUGCAAGCCUUGAGCUCUGUCGGCACCACCGAAAGUAGUUCGAGGUACAAUCGAUUCGUAAACCUAGUAAUUACUGUUCAAGGUACUGCCGAAAUGCUACCUCGUUCAGCGAUGAUGUGUGUUGGUUGCAGUUGCAGAGGCUGCUAUUUUUUCUUCUGCAAUCCGCUUUGAAGAGUGCAACAUAUUUGGAUGUGUCUCACAUAGCAGAUCUGUCAUGUAUUAUUAAUCUAGUGUGGGAAGGGGGAGAUGUAAAAAAACAGAGUUCACUUACAACAUUGUCGGACGGAGAUUGUGAUGAAUAAUACCAGAAAGAGGGUAGUAUUUUUUCUGAAGAGGAAUUUUCGCAUGAUAGUAGUUGCUUGUCAAUGAUAAUGUUGUGACAAGUUCUUUCUGAACGGGUGUUAUUUUGCCUUGUGAAGUAUAUUGCGCUCUGCGAUAUAUCGAAUCAGGGGUUGGUAGAAAAUGGGGUUUGACAGGGGUACUGUGUCACAGUAAAUGGGGCAGUAUGUAAUGUUUUCUUUUCAUGGAAUACAAUCAAUCGGUCAAUGAGCAAGUAUUUUGAAUUUGUCAGAGCAGCAUUGAAGGUUGGGAAAGGCUUUAAUCGUGAUGGUCAUGUGUCGAGAGAGUUCUAAAGCGAUUACCAUUGACGUUGUGCAAGUCAUAAGACACAUAUCAUACCCAAAGGAUCCUUCAAUAUUUAAUGAUAAAUGGUGACCGCAAGUAGUGUACACAUAAUUCUUCACUUAUCAACUACGCUGCAAAAGUUCGUGUACUCAACGAAUUAUUUAGUUGGGCCUGGCGACCAAGAAACCGCAGAUCUGGACCUGCUUCACAUUGUCAAAGCCCAACACGCGCACGAAGCAGCCAGGGAAGGUUUUCUUGCACUCCUCGAUCUCCCUCAACACCUGGGCGGAGUCCUGGCAACCGAACAUGGGCAGCUUCCACAUGGUCCAGUAGCGACCGUCAUAGUACCCAGGGGAUGAGUUGUUGGUACGAGACACACCGUUGGCGUUCUGUUUAUGAGCCACGCCAGCCAUUACGAUCAGUAGGCUUUAAGAAAAUGAUAAACCCUCAACUCACACAUUCAGCCAAUGAAAAGCUCCGCUCUACUAGAUGGUACACUACAAUUGCAACAGUCAACAGGGAUAGAGUAAAUUGCAGCAAUCAGCUGUAAAGGCAGCCGACAACCGUACAGAAUCAGUACAGCAAAAACCAGGGUGUGAGGCUUACCACAUCGAACUCGAGGCAGGGGAUGAGAUUCUGCUGGAUCAUGUACUCCACCUGCUUGGCGAUGGCGUCAUCGGACAAUGGGGGCAAGUACGAGAAGGUCUCGAACUUGGUCAUGCCGAUGGGGUUCCACACCUGCAUGCACUGCACGCGGCUGCCAUUCUGGACUGAGCUCAAGGUCUGAGCCUUGCUGGAGAACAAGGUAGCGCUCUUGAGGCCAGAGAAAGCCUUCACGGAGGAGGCCUCGGAGGUCGACACUGCGGAUGAGGCCGCAGCGAAGGCAGCAGGGGCCACAACAGUGGAUGCAGCUACGAUGGAGGCCAUUGCACUCGACAAGAAGGGCAAUACAGCAAAAAAGCUCAGGGAUUGUUCGAGUAAGGUAGACUGAUGGUCGUUAUCU